rnacentral:rRNA from 1 species
AUACGAAGGGUGCAAGCGUUGUUCGGAUUUAUUGGGCGUAAAGCGCGCGCAGGCGGAUGUGCAAGUCAGAUGUGAAAUCUCGGGGCUCAACCCCGAAACUGCGUCUGAAACUGUUCAUCUAGAAUCUUGGAGAGGGAAGGGGAAUUUCACGUGUAGGGGUAAAAUCCGUAGAGAUGUGAAGGAACACCAGAGGCGAAGGCGCCUUCCUGGACAAGUAUUGACGCUGAGGCGCGAAAGCGUGGGUAGCAAACAGGAUUAGAUACCCGAGUAGUCC